rnacentral:rRNA from 1 species
ACGGGUGAGUAACACGUGGGUAACCUGCCCAAGAGACUGGGAUAACACCUGGAAACAGAUGCUAAUACCGGAUAACAACACUAGACGCAUGUCUAGAGUUUAAAAGAUGGUUCUGCUAUCACUCUUGGAUGGACCUGCGGUGCAUUAGCUAGUUGGUAAGGUAACGGCUUACCAAGGCAAUGAUGCAUAGCCGAGUUGAGAGACUGAUCGGCCACAUUGGGACUGAGACACGGCCCAAACUCCUACGGGAGGCAGCAGUAGGGAAUCUUCCACAAUGGACGCAAGUCUGAUGGAGCAACGCCGCGUGAGUGAAGAAGGGUUUCGGCUCGUAAAGCUCUGUUGGUAGUGAAGAAAGAUAGAGGUAGUAACUGGCCUUUAUUUGACGGUAAUUACCUAGAAAGUCACGGCUAACUACGUGCCAGCAGCCGCGGUAAUACGUAGGUGGCAAGCGUUGUCCGGAUUUAUUGGGCGUAAAGCGAGUGCAGGCGGUUCAAUAAGUCUGAUGUGAAAGCCUUCGGCUCAACCGGAGAAUUGCAUCAGAAACUGUUGAACUUGAGUGCAGAAGAGGAGAGUGGAACUCCAUGUGUAGCGGUGGAAUGCGUAGAUAUAUGGAAGAACACCAGUGGCGAAGGCGGCUCUCUGGUCUGCAACUGACGCUGAGGCUCGAAAGCAUGGGUAGCGAACAGGAUAGAUACCCUGGUAGUCCAUGCCGUAAACGAUGAGUGCUAAGUGUUGGGAGGUUUCCGCCUCUCAGUGCUGCAGCUAACG